rnacentral:tRNA from 1 species
GGGUCAAUAACUCAGUUGGUAGAGUAGCGGACUCUUAAUCCGAAUGUCGCAGGUUCAAUCCCUGCUUGGCCCACCA